GCCGAAGUGGUGGAACUGGCAGACACGCCAGGUUCAGGGUCUGGUGAGGGCAACCUUGUGGGGGUUCGAAUCCCCCCUUCGGCA
rnacentral:tRNA from 1 species